GCCCGUGUGGCCAAGUGGCUAAGGCGUCGCACUUGUAUCGGUAUUACACACCAUACACUAAUGGAGAGAUCCAUGAAAAAAAUGCGAAGAUUCGGUGGUUCAAAUCCGCCCCCGGGCU
rnacentral:tRNA from 1 species